rnacentral:rRNA from 1 species
AUACGUAGGUGGCAAGCGUUGUCCGGAUUUAUUGGGCGUAAAGCGAGCGCAGGCGGUUUCUUAAGUCUGAUGUGAAAGCCCCCGGCUCAACCGGGGAGGGUCAUUGGAAACUGGGGGACUUGAGUGCAGAAGAGGAGAGUGGAAUUCCAUGUGUAGCGGUGAAAUGCGUAGAUAUAUGGAGGAACACCAGUGGCGAAGGCGACUCUCUGGUCUGUAACUGACGCUGAGGCUCGAAAGCGUGGGGAGCAAACAGGAUUAGAUACCCUGGUAGUCCACGCCGUAAACGAUGAGUGCUAAGUGUUGGAGGGUUUCCGCCCUUCAGUGCUGCAGCUAACGCAUUAAGCACUCCGCCUGGGGAGUACGACCGCAAGGUUGAAACUCAAAUGAAUUGACGGGG